GACAUCGAGCUUAGAUAAGCAAUUUUACUCCGGUUGGGUUGUCGAGUUCGAGCUGCGUUAUGCGUUUUCUCUUCAGUACACAUUACAAUCUUUGGUAGAAGCACAGAGAUGAUAGAAGGUCAACUAAUUCGCUUUAUUAUCUAUACUGGUGACACAGCUGUCAAUCACGAAUAUAGGAAUGAUAAUCUGAGUCCUCCGUAACAUGAUGACUUUGAGCAUAAUAUGUAAUAGGUAAAGUUGAAUGAAUUGGAAAUAAGCUAAUGGAUAUCACAAUUUUUUAGCAGUGAGAGUUAAUAAAAAAUGAGAAAUAAUAUAUUAUAUAUAUAUUGUAAGAAACACUGAAUUUUUCGGUUAAAAUUCUUGUGAUUACAUUUCUAUUAGUUUAAAAAUUAAUUUUUCAAAAUUUAUCAAAACUGUAUUAUUUUUGCAUUAUAGGGACAAAAAUCUUUGGCGAUGUAUUUUGUAUGUAAAUAAUUACGAAUAU